rnacentral:rRNA from 1 species
AAAUUGAAGAGUUUGAUCAUGGCUCAGAUUGAACGCUGGCGGCAGGCCUAACACAUGCAAGUCGAACGGUAACAGGAAGCAGCUUGCUGCUUUGCUGACGAGUGGCGGACGGGUGAGUAAUGUCUGGGAAACUGCCUGAUGGAGAGGGAUAACUACUGGAAACGGUAGCUAAUACCGCAUAACGUCGCAAGACCAAAGAGGGGGACCUUCGGGCCUCUUGCCAUCGGAUGUGCCCAGAUGGGAUUAGCUAGUAGGUGGGGUAACGGCUCACCUAGGCGACGAUCCCUAGCUGGUCUGAGAGGAUGACCAGCCACACUGGAACUGAGACACGGUCCAGACUCCUACGGGAGGCAGCAGUGGGGAAUAUUGCACAAUGGGCGCAAGCCUGAUGCAGCCAUGCCGCGUGUAUGAAGAAGGCCUUCGGGUUGUAAAGUACUUUCAGCGGGGAGGAAGGGAGUAAAGUUAAUACCUUUGCUCAUUGACGUUACCCGCAGAAGAAGCACCGGCUAACUCCGUGCCAGCAGCCGCGGUAAUACGGAGGGUGCAAGCGUUAAUCGGAAUUACUGGGCGUAAAGCGCACGCAGGCGGUUUGUUAAGUCAGAUGUGAAAUCCCCGGGCUCAACCUGGGAACUGCAUCUGAUACUGGCAAGCUUGAGUCUCGUAGAGGGGGGUAGAAUUCCAGGUGUAGCGGUGAAAUGCGUAGAGAUCUGGAGGAAUACCGGUGGCGAAGGCGGCCCCCUGGACGAAGACUGACGCUCAGGUGCGAAAGCGUGGGGAGCAAACAGGAUUAGAUACCCUGGUAGUCCACGCCGUAAACGAUGUCGACUUGGAGGUUGUGCCCUUGAGGCGUGGCUUCCGGAGCUAACGCGUUAAGUCGACCGCCUGGGGAGUACGGCCGCAAGGUUAAAACUCAAAUGAAUUGACGGGGGCCCGCACAAGCGGUGGAGCAUGUGGUUUAAUUCGAUGCAACGCGAAGAACCUUACCUGGUCUUGACAUCCACGGAAGUUUUCAGAGAUGAGAAUGUGCCUUCGGGAACCGUGAGACAGGUGCUGCAUGGCUGUCGUCAGCUCGUGUUGUGAAAUGUUGGGUUAAGUCCCGCAACGAGCGCAACCCUUAUCCUUUGUUGCCAGCGGUCCGGCCGGGAACUCAAAGGAGACUGCCAGUGAUAAACUGGAGGAAGGUGGGGAUGACGUCAAGUCAUCAUGGCCCUUACGACCAGGGCUACACACGUGCUACAAUGGCGCAUACAAAGAGAAGCGACCUCGCGAGAGCAAGCGGACCUCAUAAAGUGCGUCGUAGUCCGGAUUGGAGUCUGCAACUCGACUCCAUGAAGUCGGAAUCGCUAGUAAUCGUGGAUCAGAAUGCCACGGUGAAUACGUUCCCGGGCCUUGUACACACCGCCCGUCACACCAUGGGAGUGGGUUGCAAAAGAAGUAGGUAGCUUAACCUUCGGGAGGGCGCUUACCACUUUGUGAUUCAUGACUGGGGUGAAGUCGUAACAAGGUAACCGUAGGGGAACCUGCGGUUGGAUCACCUCCUUACCUUAAAGAAGC